rnacentral:rRNA from 1 species
ACGCCGUAAACGAUGAGUGCUAGGUGUUGGGUCCUUUCCGGGACUCAGUGCCGCAGCUAACGCAUUAAGCACUCCGCCUGGGGAGUACGACCGCAAGGUUGAAACUCAAAGGAAUUGACGGGGGCCCGCACAAGCGGUGGAGCAUGUGGUUUAAUUCGAAGCAACGCGAAGAACCUUACCAGGUCUUGACAUCCCGGUGCCCGUCCUAGAGAUAGGAUUUUGCUUCGGCACACCGGUGACAGGUGGUGCAUGGUUGUCGUCAGCUCGUGUCGUGAGAUGUUGGGUUAAGUCCCGCAACGAGCGCAACCCUUAUUGUUAGUUGCCAUCAUUCAGUUGGGCACUCUAGCGAGACUGCCGGUAAUAAACCGGAGGAAGGUGGGGAGGACGUCAAAUCAUCAUGCCCCUUAUGACCUGGGCUACACACGUGCUACAAUGGCUGGUACAACGAGUCGCAAGUCGGUGACGGCAAGCUAAUCUCUUAAAGCCAGUCUCAGUUCGGAUUGUAGGCUGCAACUCGCCUACAUGAAGUGGGAAUCGCUAGUAAUCGCGGAUCAGCACGCCGCGGUGAAUACGUUCCCGGGCCUUGUACUCACCGCCCGUC